rnacentral:rRNA from 1 species
UACGUAGGGAGCAAGCGUUGUCCGGAAUCAUUGGGCGUAAAGCGCGCGUAGGCGGCCCCGUAAGUCCGCUGUGAAAGUCAAAGGCUCAACCUUUGAAAGCCGGUGGAUACUGUGGGGCUAGAGUCCGGAAGAGGCGAGUGGAAUUCCUGGUGUAGCGGUGGAAUGCGCAGAUAUCAGGAGGAACACCAAUAGCGAAGGCAGCUCGCUGGGACGGUACUGACGCUAAGGCGCGACAGCGUGGGGAGCAAACAGG